AACGAACGCUGGCGGCAGGUCUUAGGCAUGCAAGUCGAACGGGUGUAGCAAUACAUCAGUGGCGCACGAGUGAGUAACGCGUGGGAAUUUGCCCAUCGGUGGGGAAUAACGUUUGGAAACGAACGCUAAUACCGCAUACGUCGAGAAAUCGAGAAAGAUUUAUCGCCGAUGGAUAAGCCCGCGUUGGAUUAGCUUGUUGGUAGGGUAAUGGCCUACCAAGGCGAUGAUCCAUAGCUGGUCUGAGAGGACGAUCAGCCACGCUGGGACUGAGACACGGCCCAGACUCCUACGGGAGGCAGCAGCUAAGAAUAUUGGACAAUGGAGGAAACUCUGAUCCAGCCAUGCCGCGUGAGUGAAGAAAGCCUUCGGGUUGUAAAGCUCUUUUAGACGUGAGGAUGAUGACGGUAGCGACAGAAAAAGCACCGGCUAACUUCGUGCCAGCAGCCGCCGCAG
rnacentral:rRNA from 1 species